rnacentral:lncRNA from 1 species
UUUAAACAUGGGUCCAUGUCUAGCACUAGGGUUAAACUAACCCAACUCCAAACCUAAAAACAAAAUGCACCGCCUCUAUACGGAGGCUAUGGCUACAGCACUCGGAAUACCGAUACUGAUGCUUUUCAAUUCUUACUUUGUUUCGUGACAACAAUCCAAUAAGUUUCAUCCACCAACUUGUCACCGGUCGACUCGACAAGCAUCUAUA